rnacentral:rRNA from 1 species
AUGACAAUUUGACCUCAAAUUCAGGUUAGGACUACCCCGCUGAAACUUAGGCAUAUCAAUAAGCGGAGGAAAAGAAACUAACAAGGAUUCCCCUAGUAACUGCGAGUGAAGCGGGAAAAGCUCAAAUUUAAAAUCUGGCGGGUUCACCUGUCCGAGUUGUAAUCUAGAGAAGUGUUAUCCGCGUUGAACCGUGUACAAGUCUCCUGGAAUGGAGCGUCAUAGAGGGUGAGAAUCCCGUCUUUGCCACGGACAAUCAAGGCUUUGUGAUGCGCUCUCAAAGAGUCGAGUUGUUUGGGAAUGCAGCUCAAAAUGGGUGGUAAAUUCCAUCUAAAGCUAAAUAUUGGCGAGAGACCGAUAGCGAACAAGUACCGUGAGGGAAAGAUGAAAAGAACUUUGGAAAGAGAGUUAAACAGUACGUGAAAUUGCUGAAAGGGAAACGCUUGAAGUCAGUCACGUUUGCUGGAAUUCAACCUUGCUUUUGCUGGGCGUACUUUCCAGUUCACGGGUCAGCAUCAAUUUUGAUUGUUGGAUAAAGUCUGGAGGAAUGUGGCAUCUUCGGAUGUGUUAUAGCCUUUAGUCGCAUACAACAGUUGGGAUUGAGGAACUCAGCAUGCCGCAAGGCCGGGUACUUGUACCACGUUCGUGCUUAGGAUGCUGGCAUAAUGGCUUUAAUCGACCCGUCUUGAAACACGGACCAAGGAGUCUAACAUGCCUGCGAGUGUUUGGGUGGAAAACCCGAGCGCGUAAUGAAAGUGAAAGUUGAGAUCCCUGUCGUGGGGAGCAUCGACGCCCGGACCAGACCUUUUGUGACGGUUCCGCGGUAGAGCAUGUAUGUUGGGACCCGAAAGAUGGUGAACUAUGCCUGAAUAGGGUGAAGCCAGAGGAAACUCUGGUGGAGGCUCGUAGCGAUUCUGACGUGCAAAUCGAUCGUCAAAUUUGGGUAUAGGGG